rnacentral:rRNA from 1 species
GUGCCAGCAGCCGCGGUAAUACGGGGGGGGCAAGCGUUAUCCGGAUUUACUGGGUGUAAAGGGAGCGUAGACGGCAGUGCAAGUCUGGAGUGAAAGGCGGGGGCUCACCCCCCGGACUGCUCUGGAAACUGUACGGCUGGAGUGCAGGAGAGGUAAGUGGAAUUCCUAGUGUAGCGGUGAAAUGCGUAGAUAUAGGAGGAACACCAGUGGCGAAGGCGGCUUACUGGACUGUAACUGACGUUGAGGCUCGAAAGCGUGGGGAGCAAACAGGAUUAAAUACCCUGGUAGUCCACGCCGUAAACGAUGAUCACUAGGUGUCGGGGGUUAAAGAACCUUCGGUGCCGCAGCCAACGCAGUAAGUGAUCCACCUGGGGAGUACGUUCGCAAGAAUGAAACUCAAAGGAAUUGACGGGGACCCGCACAAGCGGGGGAGCAUGUGGUUUAAUUCGAAGCAAUUCAAAGAUUCUUACCAGGUCUUG